UUUAAGCGUAACCAUGAGUUUCUCCAACUUUGAUCGUUCGUUUUAUUUGAAAUUUUUUUGUAAUUAGUACUUUUGUUGUUAUGAGAUGAUAAAACAUUAAGUACUUUAUGUGUGACUUAUGUUUUUAAUUGUUUUAAAAAAUUUUUUAAAUAAGACGGAUGAUCGAAGUUGAGCAUGUACGAAAAAGCAUGGCUGCACUUAAA
rfam:Oryza meridionalis cultivar OR44 (W2112) chromosome 2, whole genome shotgun sequence.